rnacentral:rRNA from 1 species
GUGCCAGCAGCCGCGGUAAAACGUAGGAGGCAAGCGUUAUCCGGAGUUACUGGGCGUAAAGCGCGUGCAGGUGGGUUAUUAAGUCACUUAUGAAAGCUCCCGGCUAAACUGGGAGAGGCUGAGUGAAACUGGUAGCCUUGAGUAGAGGAGAGGUAGACGGAAUUCCGCGUGUAGUGGUGAAAUGCGUAGAGAUGCGGAAGAACACCAGUGGCGAAGGCGGUCUACUGGCCUCUAACUGACACUCAGACGCGACAGCAUGGGUAGCUAACGGGAUUAGAAACCCCGGUAGUCCAUGCCGUAAACGAUGCACACGAGACGUUCGCAGUCAAUGGCUGUGAGUGUCGCAGCAAACGCGAUAAGUGUGCCGCCUGGGGAGUACGGUCGCAAGGCUACAACUUAAAUGAAUUGACGGGG